rnacentral:lncRNA from 13 species
AUGAUUGACCAGCAGGUGCCAGUGUAUGACCAGAGCAAGGAGAAACAGAACAUCCUUCACAUCAGAGACGAGAUCAAAAAACGCCAGAAGAUUAAGUCUGAAACCAUACUAGAGGGUAUUGAAACCCAAAGCACAUCAGUCCUUAACAAGGUCUACACAGAGUUGUACAUGGUCACCUGNNNNNNNNNNUUUAUUUUGCUCUUUUUGAAGACAUCCUUCACAUCAGAGACGAGAUCAAAAAACGCCAGAAGAUUAAGUCUGAAACCAUACUAGAGGGUAUUGAAACCCAAAGCACAUCAGUCCUUAACA